UUCCAUUGUUCCCUUACGCAUCUCUUCUUUUCCUCCAUCUUUCUUAACCUAAUUAAUAUCGAUACCGUUUCACAAUCAUCUCUUCAACUUCAUAUGGAAACCACAAUCAAUCAUCAAUCAGUUGAUUCUACGAAACGCGAAUUGGCUUCACCGUUUCCUUUCUUGAUUAUAAAACCCUAGAUGUAAAUCCAGAAUCUUCAUUCACGGAUAUAACAAGGAGGCUAUACUCUCCGACGUUCAUAUUGUGGAAGAUCUUCUUCAAUCGGUAAAAUAGAUAUUUCUAAAUGGCGAAAUAUGGAUGCCAGAUCACUGGGAAUAACCUAAGUAAUUGUGCCUUCUUCCUAUACGCUUCUAAAGAUUCUCGAAAGCGGAGGCUACAUUUUGUUAUUACAACCAAGAAAACUGAACUGAACACCCUGAUGACUAUUCCCAUUGUGUUUGUGACGGCCAUAGUAAGCAAGAUGAUGAGCUCAGGAAAAGGCUACUAGACCAACUUACUGCGCAGGGUGAUUUUGAAGAAGCAUUUGUUAAAUGUUUAGUUCAAAAAGUGAGAUUUUUUAAAUAAAGGUUUGGAAAGUAUUUUUUAACCCGAACCUAAUUUACUGGUUACUCAAUCUGCCGUUUCGCCACCUCCACCUUUUUUAACAACAGUAACUCUACAAGGACAAACCCAAAUUAUCGCCGACCGGGCUUGUGAUAUUCAGUGUGAAGGAGAUCUGGUGUUUUAUUUGGAACACAUGGUCCUGAAAGCAUCGAAGUUGUUAAGGAGUUGGCUUAUGAGAUUCUAAAGCAAUUUUUUGUUGCAAAAUGGCGCUCAAAGUGAUCCAGAUUCUACACGGUGAGUCUGAAUUUAUGGCGCUUGAUUCGAUCUCGGUUAUUAGCAUGUGUUUUUUUGUUGUACUUCAAUUUUACUUAUCAAUCUUACCAUGAUGGAUGAGAGGGUAAAUAGGUAGGGGUCCAUAUGACAGAAUGAUAUCAACUACCCUCACUUUGCUCAUAUACGUACUGUACAUACACUUAAAAGGAGAUUUAUUACAUUUAUACGCAUCCAAUAAUGUAUUUAGGUUGUUAUUUGUGUUAAUGAAGUGGUACCCAUGUAAGUGAUGUGUGAUAAAUGCAAGACACUUAUAGAUGUUUCUAAACUGCUAUAUUUUAGUUAUAUGUGUGUUAUUUGAGAUCAGUGAUUGAAAUUUUGAGGUGUUUUUAUCACUGGAAACUGGUUUUUCAGUUUAUUUGAUGAACAUAACUGGACAGUUGCAGGUGACAAUACGUUGCUAAUAUUCAUUUUUAAAAGAGCAGAGACCGGAUAACAAAGAAUGGGGAUAAAAUGACAAUUGUGGAGGACCCGAAUUCAUGGGUUGCGUCUAAUUUGUCAACUAUUUUUCCACCGAAUUUCUAUUUUUGCAUCUUAUAAAAAGAAAAAUUACCGUUUAGGUGAGAUUCAAUAUGCGCAAGGUAACUAAAGGAAAUGUAACGAUAAAGUCGGGUGGAUCUUGGAAGGCAACCUCGAUGACUUUAUUGUUUGGGUGCUAUUGCGAGUGGUUCUUCAGAUCUAUUUAUUAAAGUUAUUCCCUUUCUCCUCUCACUGACAUUGUAUUUUUUUGUCAGCCACCUCUUAUUCAUCCAUCUGAUAACCAAUUAAGCUUGGUUGAUUUUGAUGCGUUUAAAGUUGUUCAAAAAAGAACUGGUUGCUUCAGACUUAUGGGUACGACAAUGGUUCAGGUUAUGGUAUGCUGUUUAUGGCCCAUGAUAAUUUCCGAUGGCUGCUGGCUAAGCAUGUUUGGGGGUUCAGCCAGCGGAACUAUGUGCUUCGUUCUAUCUGGGCCAUGGGUAGCUUCGUCAUUAAGGGUCGGGGUUUAAACGACCAAGUUCCAGAUAUUUUGUUGGCUUACAUGUUAAAGCAUUGCUGUUAUACUGAUUAAGAGGCCCUCCAAAGACUGCACAUCUGUUGGUUUAUAGUGUUGGGGUCCGGGUGUGGCAUGUUGACAGGUUUCAUAAGGCAGAAGUUAAAGUAUAUCUGCAGGGGUAAAACUGUAAAAACGGCAGAAGGUGUCUAGAAGACCUGCAGACUCAUAUGGUCAGGCUGUAAUGCGGUCUGUCUUUUUAUUCAGGUUCUCUCAUUAUGCGAUACUGGUGUCCGUAUGUCUGCUCUGAGUUUGGAUCCCAUUAUAUGGCUUUGGUAUUGUUGUAUUACGCCUGAUGGUUCUGUGUUGGGUUUCCGGGGUUAUAUGAUCUGGAUGGGGUAUUCUCAGAUGAGUUGGUCGCUGUAGUACCGGGCCUCUAAUCAGUCAGUUCAGAAUUCUUUCGGGGGUACAAGAGGGGUAUACAAAAGGCUUAAUAGUUACUGGUGGACUAUUCUGUUUUCGAAGGCCAGUGCUGGGUUAUUAAGCAACGAGUGAUGGCCCAAAUUAUGGCCAAUUGCAACUCCUUGAUGGCCCAGCUUUGGGUUGCUGGUUUACACAUCUCGAAGGCCCAAAUAGGGUAUAUGUUGUAUUGGUGGGCCUGGCUGGUUUUCAGGCCUUAUGUUCCUAUGGUUUUCCCUAAGCAGCUGAUUUAUGGAUCCACAAUAGGGCGGUGUGACGUCUCUGUUAUAUGGCAUAAAAGUUGCUAAACCGUUCAUGAUUUUUGAACUUAUUAAUGGCAGUGUAUAUUAACACAAUCACAUAUUUGUAUGCUUUUUUAAACAUGAUUUUGAAUAUAAACUUAUUUACUUUAUCCCA